rnacentral:rRNA from 1 species
UAAUACGUAGGGAGCCAGCGUUGUCCGGAUUUACUGGGCGUAAAGAGCGCGUAGGCGGUUUGAUCAGCGGAGGGUGAAAUCCCGGGGCUCAACUCCGGGGCUGCUCUCCGAACUGUCAGACUAGAGUACGGGAGAGGACAGUGGAAUUCCUGGUGUAGCGGUGGAAUGCGUAAAUAUCAGGAGGAACACCCGUGGCGAAGGCUGCUGUCUGGAACGUUACUGACGCUGAGGCGCGAAAGCUAGGGGAGCGAACGGG